GGUCCUACACCACGUCGCAAGCACCAGAUACACGCCAACCGGACUCGUCGCACUCGACGCCCAUCGACAUAGCAAGCCGCAUCACGGCCGGUCCAACAGCGAGUAGGUCCAACGGCUGGCCCUUCUCCACAUCACGGCCGGUUCUGCUCUUGUUCCCCUUCGACGAACCAACAGACACAAGUAGUUUCCACGAGAGAGAAAAGGUAGAAAGAAAAAUAAAUGAAUUAGGAUCUACCCACUGAUGAUUAAAGGUACAGAUGACCCUCCUUCUUCCAACCGCCUGCAUAGAAACACUGAUACAGUAAGUGCACGAAACAAAGUUGAGUAUUUCACCUAGGAAAAAUUCGAUAUAGUUUAGUAUUCUGUAUUAAAAGUCAACUAAAAAAAGAAGAUUAAGGGUCAAAUAACGAAGUGUAUCUGAUAAUGUAUAAAUACGAUCGGUUAAGUUUCGAAACAGGGUUCCCGUUCGUAUGGCAACUUUUUUAUUUAUGUACAUGCUGUCUAGUCGGUCGUUGAACAACUAGACACUAAGAAACUUUAAACUACGAAUAUUGACAAAUAUUCAGUCAUAACAAGUCUCGGUUUCUAUUCAUUGUUAGAUAAACCAAUUCAACUUGUGAAAGUCUAGUCCUCAUCAUCUUUAAGAAUUCCCGUAACCCUAUAACUUGACGUCUAUCGAAGCCGUCCAAACAAUCCGAUUAUAUUUCAUCCCUGGAAACGAUGUAUUACUAUGUUUCUACUAUGGCUUCCAACAAAACGUUGAUCGUUCAAAGUUCCAGUGUACCUACGACUGUCGAGAGUCCACAUACCGGAUAAACAACGACCCAUAACAACGGAAAGAAGGACGCCUCCUAGGACUCAACUACGUAUAUAACCGAGUUUUUCAUUGAUCCGAGACUUCACGUCUAACUGUUCUCUCAAAGACGACGAUAAACAAUUUAGAAUUUCUUUGCAGACAAGGACUCCAAAUGUUCAGGGGAACAAGUUUAUACUUUUACUAAAUAAACGUUUGAAGUUACGUUUUAC
rnacentral:rRNA from 1 species